rnacentral:rRNA from 1 species
AACGAACGCUGGCGGCAGGCUUAACACAUGCAAGUCGAACGCCCCGCAAGGGGAGUGGUAGACGGGUGAGUAACGCGUGGGAAUCUACCCAGAUCUUCGGAACAACUGAGGGAAACUUCAGCUAAUACCGGAUACGCCCUACGGGGGAAAGAUUUAUCGGUUCUGGAUGAGCCCGCGUUGGAUUAGCUAGUUGGUGAGGUAACGGCUCACCAAGGCGACGAUCCAUAGCUGGUCUGAGAGGAUGAUCAGCCACACUGGGACUGAGACACGGCCCAGACUCCUACGGGAGGCAGCAGUGGGGAAUAUUGGACAAUGGGCGAAAGCCUGAUCCAGCCAUGCCGCGUGAGUGAUGAAGGCCUUAGGGUUGUAAAGCUCUUUCAGUGGGGAAGAUAAUGACGGUACCCACAGAAGAAGCCCCGGCUAACUUCGUGCCAGCAGCCGCCGUAACAC